GUCCAACUCCUCUUCCCCUGCCAUUCCUCCAUCAAAGGAAGGCAAGAUCCACCCAAGAACCGCGUUGGCGUCUCUGAAGCAAACAGAUUGAACUAGAAAACGGAGACAGAGUUCAACCACAGGGAUGCGGAAGUACCCAGCUGAGAUACCUUCCUCCUGGGAUCGAUGUGGCUAGCACGCCCGCCUGGCACAACAGCGACCCAGAUGCUUUGGACCAAUCCUCAAUAUGAUGAGGACACUGAUUCACGGAGACAUUAAGCUGCUGUAGGCCCCACAGCCAACAAGGAGCCCAGCUGGCCUCAUCGCCAAUAUGGCAGCAGACGCAGCAGUAAAGACAGCUCCAAGCCAGCAGCUCCCAAGUCAGCUGUGUAUUUGAUUAAGAAGAGAGCAGAGCAGAUGCAGCUUAUCGGGAGGAUGCACAAAGGCAGCGAGCGGACAGCCACAAAAUGCCAGCCUGUUUUGUCCUCAGCCUAGCCAAGGGAUUCUUUCAUAUUGAUUCAGAUGUCUAUUAAAUGGUGCUAUAAUGACAACUGCUACGCUUUCUGUGGCUGGUAUCCGGCCUUGCGACAGCCCUUUGGUGGAGAUCGUGUUGUUAUUAUUAUGCCUAAGUUACACCUGAGGAAACUGAGGCCUACAGUGGCCAGAGACAGUACAGAGAAGAGAGGACUCAGAUCUGGGUCUGCUGAACCUCCCUGUCUACUCGACUAACCGCUCUCCUAGACAGGACAAAGCAGUACGGCACACCUGAACUUGGGCUGGCGCUGACCGUCCGGGGCUCUUCCUGGGGCUGUGACCUACCUGCCCCUCAGCCUCCUGGAAACAUUUCACAAAGGCUGCUCAUGUUCCCAGUGUAUUGCACAGACCCUGUCUUUGUUUAGGAGUGUGGGAUUUUGUGUAUCAUGAGCUCUGGGCAUCCAUUUUUAUUUUAAACAUUAUCUUAGAAUAUUAAUUAUGUUAGUUCCCGAGCUUUCUGGUCCUUCUUAAAAUUUUGUAUCCAAGUCAAGCAUCUGACUCACCUUCCCCUGUAAUUGACAAAGGGGAAAUGGAACUCUGGAAGUUAGAAUUUUUUUUUUCCUUCAGGGACAGGUGACAUCUCCAAAUGUCCUUAGGCCUAGGGUAUAAAUACCACCUUCUUCUCUUCAGUCUCGAUGAAUGCACAGAAUAUGCAGAUGUUGACCCCAGGACUAUGGGCCUGGAGAUGGCCAUUAGCUCACUGUAUUCACUCUCCCCUCUGCUCCUCACUACAAAACAUCUCUGCCCCCUUGGAUGCAGGGAAAGGGUGAUUCCAGGCAAAUGAGCUCCCCAUCCCAUCUCCUUGGAGCUUGUUUUGAAUAAAGUCUUUUUUCCUCUUCACCAAGAUAAAUGGCCUCCUUUGGCUUGGUCAGAAGUAAGCAAAUGGACUUGAGUGGCUGGAACCUCAUGCCAGUAGGGCCUGUCACCUACAGGGUAGGUGCUGACAUUGAGCAAACAAAUUACUGCGCAUGUGUAGAUAAGGACACUGAGACUGGAAGAGGAGUGGUGAGUAAUUUCCCCCAGGUCACACUGUACGUGGCUGCCGCUGAAUUCAUCCCCGGCCUUCUCAGGCCCCAGUGUCUCUAUUCUUCUCACUACCCAAAGCUGUCCCAGAGCAUUUCCUGAAUCACUCAGAUGCAUGGCCUGAAGAAGGAGGACUGUGGUUCAGAUUGGAUGGCUUUGCUCUUGGAGCUACUCCAGCAAUGGCCAAAAACACCUUGGGACUCUCAAAUACAGGCCCAGGUGACACAUGGCUGAUUGUGCAGGCCCGCUGGGACACAUCUGCUCUGCUCUGGCCUGCAGCACAGA